rnacentral:rRNA from 1 species
GAUUAACGCUAGCGGCAGGCCUAAUACAUGCAAGUCGAGCGGCAGCACGGGUAGCAAUACCUGGUGGCGAGUGGCGCACGGGUGCGUAACGCGUAUGCAAUCUACCUAUAACUGGGGAAUAGCCUUCCGAAAGGAAGAUUAAUACCGCAUAAUAUCACGAAGCGGCAUCGUUUUGUGAUCAAAACUCCGGUGGUUAUAGAUGAGCAUGCGUGACAUUAGCUAGUUGGUGAGGUAACGGCUCACCAAGGCUACGAUGUCUAGGGGGUCUGAGAGGAUGAUCCCCCACACUGGUACUGAGAC